rnacentral:tRNA from 1 species
AGGAAAGUGCCUGAUUAAAGGGUUAUUUUGAUAGAAUAAAUUAAACAAUUUUUUGUCUUUUCUU